UUUGGACAAUGGUAGGAGAGCGUUCUAAGGGCGUUGAAGCAUGAUCGUAAGGACAUGUGGAGCGCUUAGAAGUGAGAAUGCCGGUGUGAGUAGCGAAAGACGGGUGAGAAUCCCGUCCACCGAUUGACUAAGGUUUCCAGAGGAAGGCUCGUCCGCUCUGGGUUAGUCGGGUCCUAAGCUGAGGCCGACAGGCGUAGGCGAUGGAUAACAGGUUGAUAUUCCUGUACCACCUAUAAUCGUUUUAAUCGAUGGGGGGACGCAGUAGGAUAGGCGAAGCGUGCGAUUGGAUUGCACGUCUAAGCAGUAAGGCUGAGUAUUAGGCAAAUCCGGUACUCGUUAAGGCUGAGCUGUGAUGGGGAGAAGACAUUGUGUCUUCGAGUCGUUGAUUUCACACUGCCGAGAAAAGCCUCUAGAUAGAAAAUAGGUGCCCGUACCGCAAACCGACACAGGUAGUCAAGAUGAGAAUUCUAAGGUGAGCGAGCGAACUCUCGUUAAGGAACUCGGCAAAAUGACCCCGUAACUUCGGGAGAAGGGGUGCUCUUUAGGGUUAACGCCCAGAAGAGCCGCAGUGAAUAGGCCCAAGCGACUGUUUAUCAAAAACACAGGUCUCUGCUAAACCGUAAGGUGAUGUAUAGGGGCUGACGCCUGCCCGGUGCUGGAAGGUUAAGAGGAGUGGUUAGCUUCUGCGAAGCUACGAAUCGAAGCCCCAGUAAACGGCGGCCGUAACUAUAACGGUCCUAAGGUAGCGAAAUUCCUUGUCGGGUAAGUUCCGACCCGCACGAAAGGCGUAACGAUUUGGGCACUGUCUCAACGAGAGACUCGGUGAAAUCAUAGUACCUGUGAAGAUGCAGGUUACCCGCGACAGGACGGAAAGACCCCGUGGAGCUUUACUGUAGCCUGAUAUUGAAAUUCGGCACAGCUUGUACAGGAUAGGUAGGAGCCUUUGAAACGUGAGCGCUAGCUUACGUGGAGGCGCUGGUGGGAUACUACCCUAGCUG
rnacentral:rRNA from 1 species